AUGAAAUUAUGUAAAAUUCAAAAUUAUACUUAUUUUAUAGGUAGUAUAUUAAUUUAAAAAAUUCACAUAAAUUAUAACAAAGUGUUCCUACAUUUUGGUGGAGUUGAUUUCAUUUCCCUCCCAAUUGUUGGUAGCACUAGUCCCACGUGAUAAAUUCAAUAAUUAAAAAAAGGUUGAACCCCAACCUUAGGGGCCCCCACCGACCCUGCCCUGGGCCAUCGUGGAGGAGGUAAAUCGCAGGAUGUGCCUUCCAGGAGCCAGGGUGGAGAGCACAUGGAUAGGCCAAGGCUGUUAACCCAUAUGGUAACUCCCGCUUGCAACAAAGCCAAUUCCACCUUGCGGGGAAUCGAACUCUGCACACUGCCACGCUGAGCCCUAUCCGCCCUCCCCUUUGCCACUGGGAGAUAUGCUCUGGGGGCAGAUAAAUUCAAUAAUUGUUAUAGGGGGAGAGAGAGACAGGCUAAAAAUAGAACUUGCUGGUAUGUGGUCCCUAUAUGCAUGAUGAAUAAUGAUGUUGGAAUAGGGUCACGUCGGACGAUUUGAGUGU
rnacentral:lncRNA from 1 species